GCGAGUAUAUCCGGUCGUAAGAACACGCUGACGUCAUGGUUCUUUCUGGUACCCAGCAACAAGUGAAAAAAAUGGACACUCCUCCUCUUCACGGUUAUUCGUUCCAUCGACCACGCGAGCAUCCUCCAGUUAUAAAAGGAAUCCUGUUGUACGCCCGAUGUACAGGGUGGCCAAUU